rnacentral:rRNA from 1 species
UACGUAGGGUGCGAGCGUUAAUCGGAAUUACUGGGCGUAAAGCGUGCGCAGGCGGUUUUGUAAGCCAGAUGUGAAAUCCCGGGCUUAACCUGGGAAUGGCAUUUGGGACUGCAAGGCUGGAGUGUGGCAGAGGAGACUGGAAUUCCUGGUGUAGCAGUGAAAUGCGUAGAUAUCAGGAGGAAUACCGAUGGCGAAGGCAGGUCUCUGGGCUGACACUGACGCUCAUGCACGAAAGCGUGGGGAGCAAACAGG